GGCCCAGCUUGCUGGGUACUCGAGUGGCGAACGGGUGAGUAACACGUGGGUGAUCUGCCCUGCACUCUGGGAUAAGCCUGGGAAACUGGGUCUAAUACCGGAUAUGACCAACUGUCGCAUGGUGGUUGGUGGAAAGCUUUUGCGGUGUGGGAUGGGCCCGCGGCCUAUCAGCUUGUUGGUGGGGUAAUGGCCUACCAAGGCGACGACGGGUAGCCGACCUGAGAGGGUGAUCGGCCACACUGGGACUGAGACACGGCCCAGACUCCUACGGGAGGCAGCAGUGGGGAAUAUUGCACAAUGGGCGCAAGCCUGAUGCAGCGACGCCGCGUGAGGGAUGACGGCCUUCGGGUUGUAAACCUCUUUCACCAGGGACGAAGCGUGAGUGACGGUACCUGGAGAAGAAGCACCGGCCAACUACGUGCCAGCAGCCGCGGUAAUACGUAGGGUGCGAGCGUUGUCCGGAAUUACUGGGCGUAAAGAGCUCGUAGGCGGUUUGUCGCGUCGUCUGUGAAAUUCUGCAACUCAAUUGCAGGCGUGCAGGCGAUACGGGCAGACUUGAGUACUACAGGGGAGACUGGAAUUCCUGGUGUAGCGGUGAAAUGCGCAGAUAUCAGGAGGAACACCGGUGGCGAAGGCGGGUCUCUGGGUAGUAACUGACGCUGAGGAGCGAAAGCGUGGGUAGCGAACAGGAUUAGAUACCCUGGUAGUCCACGCCGUAAACGGUGGGUACUAGGUGUGGGUUCCUUUUC
rnacentral:rRNA from 1 species